CAUGAGCUGCAAUGGGUGGAGACGGAGGCGCAGAGAACCUCAACUUCUUAAUUUUAUCUUGCAGUUGCCAUGGACCAUCUCUUUGUAUACGGCAUUUGUAGCUUAUUCUUGCAGUCAGUGAAGUAAAGUGCGUUGAUGCUCAUACAAUCUGUUACCAUAAUACACACAGGGUGUUCGCGCCAGGUGUGGGCCCCGGUUCGUUUCAGUAAAAAACUAUAUGUGCCCGAGACGUUUUCAGGUGUGCGCGGCUCGUAGAGAACACGACGGGGGCACUGUAUGUUUACGAUAGAGCCCGAUAAAGGCACCCUUAGCAUAUAACCGCCAUCCUGGCGAUAGUGCCUACGGUCUGUCGCCCACGUUAUCUUUUACCAGAAAAAUACGCUCGCUCGAAAUUUCAACUUUGAAAUUUGUCUUCGAUUUCAACUGGUGAUCAAACUGGAAGACGUUUAGUUUUUUGUUUGGCUCUCAUUCUCGACGUCAUCGUCAACGAAUCCGAAUUCUAACAGAACAGAAGGAGCACCUUUUGCUUUUCUUGUAGUUUUUGCGAUAUCGCAGUGAAAUGCUUACGAACAGAGUUCUUCGUCCUUCUGCUAGGAGACAUUGGAGAAAUCUGCUAACUGAUAGCUUACCCUAUGCGAACUUCUGCUCUGUGACAGCGCUUAUCGCAUUCCGGAAACUCUGCCUGUAGCAUCCGUUCCUAUUAAAAAUGAAGUCCCAGCCAAAUGUGACGAUAUCGUUCAUACCCAGCCCGUCGUCUGCGCGGAGAGGAAAACGGAGAAGAGCUGCGUGCGUUCCAAAUUUUCAUUCACAGAGCCGCAGUACCAUACGACGGUAGCUUUACAACGCCACACAGGGCCUUCUUGAGAAAUUAUAGAAAAAGUUGCUCAAUGACGAAAUCGUCGUCGUGGAAAACAGAUUCAUCGUCCACCAUUCACUGGAUGAAAACGCCAACCAAAGGCUUCGCUUUUUGCGGCUUCCUCAAAGAUCGGCGAUAUCGCCAUGUCAUGACCACCCAGUUCUACAUGUACUCCACAGUUCCGGUUGCCACAUCAGUAGCGGAAAUUAGCUGGAUCUUACGUGAGAAUUCAUCAAAAAAGAACCCCAGUUGAAACUUCAGAAUAAGUGUUCCAAAAUUCGUCGAGCGAAAGGUGUGCUGACGACAUCGUCUGGGCAGAGAAUUGCAUUUAUUGACAAUAUUGUCUGAAUUUCCCGAGGCUUCACACCUGUCUAAAACCUUCCCAAAGUGUUUUUUCCCUUUCAUUUUAAUGUUUUUUUUAAUUAGAUGCAUUCAGCGUAAUACGAAAUUUUUUAUUUCAUUUUCAGUUGUGAAUAUCUUAAUGUUUGAGGGUACAUACAAUUAAAGUAAUAAA